rnacentral:tmRNA from 1 species
GGGGCUGAUUCUGGAUUCGACGGGAUUUGCGAAACCCAAGGUGCAUGCCGAGGGGCGGUUGGCCUCGUAAAAAGCCGCAAAAAAAUAGUCGCAAACGACGAAAACUACGCUUUAGCAGCUUAAUAACCUGCUUAGAGCCCUCUCUCCCUAGCCUCCGCUCUUAGGACGGGGAUCAAGAGAGGUCAAACCCAAAAGAGAUCGCGCGGAUGCCCUGCCUGGGGUUGAAGCGUUAAAACGAAUCAGGCUAGUCUGGUAGUGGCGUGUCCUUCCGCAGGUGCCAGGCGAAUGUAAAGACUGACUAAGCAUGUAGUACCGAGGAUGUAGGAAUUUCGGACGCGGGUUCAACUCCCGCCAGCUCCACCA